GAUGAACGCUGGCGGUAUGCUUAACACAUGCAAGUCGAACGGACUCUUCGGAGUUAGUGGCGGACGGGUGAGUAACGCGUGAGAAUCUGGCUUUGGGUUCGGGACAACCACUGGAAACGGUUGCUAAUACCGGAUGUGCCGAGAGGUAAAAGAGAAAUUGCCUGAAGAUGAGCUCGCGUCUGAUUAGCUAGUUGGUGAGGUAAAGGCUCACCAAGGCAGCGAUCAGUAGCUGGUCUGAGAGGAUGACCAGCCACACUGGGACUGAGACACGGCCCAGACUACUACGGGAGGCAGAAGUGGGGAAUGAUCAGCAAUGGGCGAAAGACUGACGGAGCAAUACCGCGUGAGGGAAGAAGGCUCUUGGGAUGUAAAGCUCUUUACUUAGGGAAGAACAAAAUGACGGUACCUAAGGAAACAGCAACGGCUAACUCCGUG
rnacentral:rRNA from 1 species